rnacentral:rRNA from 1 species
UACGAAGGGGGCUAGCGUUGUUCGGAUUUACUGGGCGUAAAGCGCACGUAGGCGGACCGUUAAGUCGGGGGUGAAAUCCUGGAGCUCAACUCCAGAACUGCCUUCGAUACUGGCGAUCUUUGAGUCCGGAAGAGGUGAGUGGAACUCCUAGUGUAGAGGUGGAAUUCGUAGAUAUUAGGAAGAACACCAGUGGCGAAGGCGGCUCACUGGUCCGGUACUGACGCUGAGGUGCGAAAGCGUGGGGAGCAAACAGG